GCCUGGGUCUGUUCAUGAUACCCGUGUAUGGACUGAUGCUCGGCCUAGGUUCCAGAAUUAUCCGCACCCUCCUCAUGGAAAAUACUAUCUUGUUGAUUCUGGAUACCCAAACAGAACCGGUUAUCUUGCUCCUUUCAAAGAGCAGCAGUAUCAUGUUCCAGAUUUCCAAGGUGCGCCUCCGCAAAACAUGCAAGAGAAAUUCAACCAUCUUCAUUCGUCUCUACGAAAUGCCAUUGAAAGAGCAUUUGGCGUUCUAAAGUUGAAGUGGCGCAUUCUGCUUUCUAUACCACAUUACCACGACCCUCUGACACAAACAAAGAUCAUCACUGCAUGCAUGUGUUUGCACAACUUCAUCCGAGAUAGCAAGCUAUAUGACGAUCAUUUUGACAGGAUGGAGAGAAGCUCAUAUAUCUACGAGGAUAGCGCGUCUUUUUCAAGUGGACAUGCUUCUUCUUCAUCUGAUGGCGUCAUGGGUGCCCUACGACAAAGUAUUGCUGAAAGUUUGGUUGCUUGAGUGGUUAUUAUUGUAGUUUCGGAUCCACUAAGACAUUUAUUUAUUUUAUUUCGCAUGUACUAAACUAUGACACCACGAUUUUAUUAUCAUCCGACUUUUCAUAAUUUUCUUGAUUCAA